rnacentral:rRNA from 1 species
UACGAAGGGGGCUAGCGUUGCUCGGAAUCACUGGGCGUAAAGCGCACGUAGGCGGAUUCUUAAGUCAGGGGUGAAAUCCUGGAGCUCAACUCCAGAACUGCCUUCGAUACUGAGAGUCCCGAGUCCGGGAGAGGUGAGUGGAACUGCGAGUGUAGAGGUGAAAUUCGUAGAUAUUCGCAAGAACACCAGUGGCGAAGGCGGCUCACUGGCCCGGUACUGACGCUGAGGUGCGAAAGCGUGGGGAGCAAACAGG